UGGUCUGAAAAGAAAAAAGAAACCAGAUGUAAUUUCUUACACAAACUAGUUUUUAUUUCAAUAUGUGUUUUAUUUCAAGAUAUGAUUAUUUGACAGCAUUUACAUUUUAAAAGAUAAUGUUUAUAUAUAUUUCUUUCUCUUUUUUCACAGAAAGGGGAACCUCAUUUCUGACAGAAUUUAUAUCAGUGGUGGCGUUGUAUGAAGCCAGAGCUGGCAACAGGGACUCAAGGUGGGAGGAAGAAUGUAGAGAAAACUGCUUAGCCUUUUUCUGGAUAUACUUCAAAAGGAAGGAAAGGUGUGAACUGAGAAUACUUGGCUCUAAGAGCUUUCAUAUUAGACCACCAUCCUUUCCCCCCUACAGCACUCUCUCAGUAAAGGGAGGAGAAGAAAUUGUGAUAUAGCAACAGUAUGCAACCAAAGUAAGGAUAAAGAAUGUUGUUUUUCAGGUUUUUUCAAAUCAGACUUCACUUUUCUAUUUAAUAAGUCAGUUAUAGUGCUUAAUUAAUUAAAGCUGAUGACAAGUUUAAUUCUAAAUGCUCUCAGGUAGAUAGAAUUAAGCCUCUGGAAAAUUCUAAUUUUUAAAUUUCAUCUAUCAUUGAAAAAUCAAAUGGAAUAAUAAAGUUGGAUAUGCACUACAUUAUUUUAAACUGUGGGGAGGAGCUCAUAUGAAGGAACCUUCUUUCACUCCGCUUUCCACAAAUCCUUCAAAUAGCAUAUCAAGGAAAGUUAGUGUUUUAUAUAAAGGAGAAUUUUUAUGUAUAAUUAGGAACAAUAUAUCCAAAGAUAAAUUUGCCACCAUAUAUAAUUUUUAAGAGAUAGGUCUCUAUAACCUAUCCAAGCAUAAGUCAUAUUGAUUAUUACAAAUGAAAUGCUAUAAAGAACCGGCAUACCUGUCCUUUGCAAGCACCGCAAGUCCUUGUAGUAAGAUAGGCACUACUGUCUGAUCCAGGUAGGCACGUGUAGGCAAUGCCUGAAGAUCCACUUUCUGCU